rnacentral:rRNA from 1 species
UGGGGAAUUUUGGACAAUGGGGGCAACCCUGAUCCAGCAAUGCCGCGUGAGUGAAGAAGGCCUUCGGGUUGUAAAGCUCUUUUGUCAGGGAAGAAACGGUAGUAGCGAAUAACUACUACUAAUGACGGUACCUGAAGAAUAAGCACCGGCUAACUACGUGCCAGCAGCCGCGGUAAUACGUAGGGUGCAAGCGUUAAUCGGAAUUACUGGGCGUAAAGCGUGCGCAGGCGGUUGUGUAAGUCAGAUGUGAAAUCCCCGGGCUCAACCUGGGAAUUGCAUUUGAGACUGCACGGCUAGAGUGUGUCAGAGGGGGGUAGAAUUCCACGUGUAGCAGUGAAAUGCGUAGAUAUGUGGAGGAAUACCGAUGGCGAAGGCAGCCCCCUGGGAUAACACUGACGCUCAUGCACGAAAGCGUGGGGAGCAAACAGGAUUAGAUACCCCUGUAGUCCCUGAGCGGGCUGGCAAGGCGCAU